AGAUUCCUACGGGAGGCAGCAGUGAGGAAUAUUGGUCAAUGGGCGCAAGCCUGAACCAGCCAUGCCGCGUGCAGGAUGACGGUCCUAUGGAUUGUAAACUGCUUUUGUACGGGAAGAAACAGUUCUACGUGUAGAACCUUGACGGUACCGUAAGAAUAAGGAUCGGCUAACUCCGUGCCAGCAGCCGCGGUAAUA
rnacentral:rRNA from 1 species